rnacentral:rRNA from 1 species
UGGGGAAUUUUGGACAAUGGGCGCAAGCCUGAUCCAGCAAUGCCGCGUGCAGGAAGAAGGCCUUCGGGUUGUAAACUGCUUUUGUACGGAGCGAAAAGGCUUCCUCUAAUACAGGGGGUCCAUGACGGUACCGUAAGAAUAAGCACCGGCUAACUACGUGCCAGCAGCCGCGGUAAUACGUAGGGUGCGAGCGUUAAUCGGAAUUACUGGGCGUAAAGCGUGCGCAGGCGGUUUUGUAAGACAGGCGUGAAAUCCCCGGGCUCAACCUGGGAAUGGCGCUUGUGACUGCAAGGCUGGAGUGCGGCAGAGGGGGAUGGAAUUCCGCGUGUAGCAGUGAAAUGCGUAGAUAUGCGGAGGAACACCGAUGGCGAAGGCAAUCCCCUGGGCCUGCACUGACGCUCAUGCGCGAAAGCGUGGGGAGCAAACA